AUCACCCGGUUGGAUCCAUCAUCGGACCCCAAGAGGAGUCCGCGCAGCCCAGCCGGCAUCCCGAAGCUCCUCCUUCAGCGGGAACCGAAGCAGAAGAGCGAUCAAGGAGGUCCUCACCACAGGACUCCUAUGGGUCCGACCCUGGGUCUCCCGCAGGCCCCUCUGGCAGUCCUCUUCCCACCCGCCGCCUCGGGCUGCGCCGCCACCGCCGCCACCGCAACCUCCAGCACCGCCGCCCCAGGCCCCGCAGCCGCCGCGUCGCCGCCAUUUUUUAAAGGGUCCGCAGCCUGACUCUGCGGAGUAAGGGGGGGUGGAGCGGGGGAGUCGGCCUCGCCAGUGCGCAUGCGCGAGGCCCAAGCCGCCGCUUGGGUCACAGUGAAAGCCACCGUUGCCCGGGGAUGGGUCCCUGACACUUGGCGAAGUAGGAGCCCUGUGUGAUCGUGCGUCUGAGUCUGGGCUGAGACCAGUCCUGGCCAGGGCAUUUACCAGGACGGUCUCCGGAGGCCGGGAUUCGCGGAGGGUCCACCAGCAGGAAGAAACCCCAGGAGGAAGAAAACUCAGACAGAUCGCCGGCGAGGCAGCGCGGCAUCCCAGCCUCAGGCGUGCGCGGACGGUGUGCGGCCUCUCCCCGCGUCUCUGCCUGGGUCGUGUGGCCGGUUGGCAGUCGUCGUCCCGGCAGUUCCAGUUUGGGGGUCUGUGA
rnacentral:lncRNA from 1 species